UAAAUGCUUGGGAAGUCUGGCUUAUGGAGGGGGGUAACUACGGGAAACUGUAGCUAAUGCCGCGUAAUAUCGAAAGAUUAAAGUGUGGGACCUUCGGGCCACAUGCCAUAGGAUGAGCCCAAGUGGGAUUAGGUAGUUGGUGAGGUAAAGGCUCACCAAGCCGACGAUCUCUAGCUGGUCUGAGAGGAUGACCAGCCACACUGGGACUGAGACACGGCCCAG
rnacentral:rRNA from 1 species